rnacentral:rRNA from 1 species
CAUGCUCCAAGCAGCGGUGGUGACAAGGGGUGAGGAUUGGGAUAGGCUAGAUCUCCCUCCGCGACUUCGCUACCCUUCGGGUGGCUGCGGUGGUGAGAGCCGGUAGUGGUAGCUGGAGAUGUGGCUGGCAGCGACUUCGCUACCGGCCUUGCGAUUCCAUAUGUGUGUUUGUCUAGUAUCUAUCAAGUUAGAUGAGGCUUUAGGAUCGGAUCAGCUAGGGUACCAGA